UACGUAGGGUGCGAGCGUUGUCUGGAAUUGUUGGGCGUAAAGAGCUCGUAGGCGGCUUGUCACGUCGGUUGUGAAAGCCCGGGGCUUAACCCCGGGUCUGCAGCUCGAUACGGGCAGGCUAGAGUGUGGUAGGGGAGAUCGGAAUUCCUGGUGUAGCGGUGAAAUGCGCAGAUAUCAGGAGGAACACCGGUGGCGAAAGCGACUUCCUGGACCAAUACUGACGCUCAUGUGCGAAAGCGUGGGGAGCAAACA
rnacentral:rRNA from 1 species